UUCCGGUUGAUCCUGCCGGAGGCUACCGCUAUUGGAGUUCGAUUAAGCCAUGCGAGUCUAGAGGCCUAGCCUCGGCGUACCGCUCAGUAACACGUGGGUAACCUACCCUAUGCUGGGGGAUAAGCUCGGGAAACUGAGAAUAAUACCCCAUAGUCCACUACGCCUGGAACGGUGAGUGGAUCAAAGCUCCGGCGGCAUAGGAUGGGCCUGCGGCGUAUCAGGUUGUAGGGGGUGUAAUGUACCCUCUAGCCAUCUACGCGUACGGGUGUUGGGAGACAUUGCCCGGAGAUGGAUUCUGAGACACGAAUCCAGACCCUACGGGGUGCAGCAGGCGCGAAAACUUGGCAAUGCGAGCAAUCGUGACCAGGGAACUCCAAGUGCUUAGGGUAAGACCUAAGCUUUUCUUGACUCUUCAAAGGUCUUGGAAUAAGGGGUGGGUAAGGACGGUGCCAGCCGCCGCGGUAAUACCGGCGCCUCAAGUGGUAGUCGCUUUUAUUGGGCCUAAAACGUCCGUAGCCGGUCUGGUGCAUUCGUGGGUAAAUCAACCCGCUCAACGGGUCGAAUUCUGCGAGCACGGCCAGACUUGGGACCGGGAGAGGUGUGGGGUACUCUCAGGGUAGGGGUAAAAUCCUGUCAUCCUGAGAGGACCACCUGUUGCGAAGGCGCCACACUAGAACGGAUCCGACGGUCAGGGACGAAACCUAGGGGCACGAACCGGAUUAGAUACCCGGGUAGUCCUAGGUGUAAACGCUGUGGACUUGAUGUUGGGGGCGCUCCGAGCGCUUUCAGUGUCGAAGCGAAGGUGAUAAGUCCACUGCCUGGGGAGUACGGUCGCAAGGCUGAAACUUAAAGGAAUUGGCGGGGGAGCACUGCAACCUGAGGAUUGUGCGGUUUAAUUGGAUUCAACGCCGGA
rnacentral:rRNA from 1 species